AAACAGUCCAAACAAGGCAAGGCAAAAAGAUGCGAUCAAAAACAAGAACAAAGUCAAAACCAGAAUAAACAAACAUGGUCUCAAGGCUUGGUAACGGCAGAGACAAAAUGUAACUGAGUGUAUUGCUUCACAAAGACAUUGUGUAUGAGAGUCUCUUUUAUGUGUGGUGUGAUUGUGAGUAUAAUUGGGAACAGGUCUCUCAGAUUAGUCCUCAGGAAAAGGUGACGUGUCUGUGUGUAGUUUUGUGAGUUGUAGUCGUUGGCCAUGAUUGUAGUGUGCAAUGCAUUCUGAAAAAUGGAGUCAUGAGUUUACCAUGAUAUGACAGUACAUAUAAAUAUGUGAGCAUUGCAUCCACCCAUUAUCCCAUUCGUUUGACAUAUAGGAUCUGAUACGUUUUUAAAUACACAUCAGUAUAUUUUAUCACAAUGUGGAUGUGAAUCAUUCAUUUGUAUCGUUCUUUCUCCCUCUCUGUUCUUCUCUGUCUCUACCACAAAAUGACAGAAGAGACAACAACAGAAGAGACAACAAUAACAACAACAACAACAAUGGCUACAACAACAUUGCCACCCACAACAGAAGAGACAACAACAGGUAAAGUUUCACUGACAGUGUGUAUGUAUAAACGUGUGAACAUUAACUCCACCCAUUAUCCCAUUCCUUCAACUUAUGAGAUCUGAUACAUUUUUAAAAGGAACCCUGACACUGAAGACUUGUUGGCCUUAACACGCAGUAAUUGCCCUCUCCUACUAAAAUAAGUUGUUAGAAGCACAUGCAAUAUGUUAAUUACUUUAAAAAUCCUUUAUAUUUAAUACAUAUUUUAACCUGCCGAGGCCACCAUUACAUGACAUGCGCAGUGCGCUCUGAGUCCAUGACGUAAAAUGUUUGAGCACUCAAAAGAAUUAGCUACUAGCCCCAGCAACAUGAAAAUAAUGCCACACUGUGCUGCUUUUGGCUGUAAUUUUCUAGGUCUUGUGUGCUGUGAUAAAGGGAAUAUCUGUAAAUAUAAUCAAACCCGGGCACACGGUGGCACACGGUGGUUAGCACGUUCGCCUCACACCUCCAGGGUUGGGGGUUCGAUUCCCACCAUGGCCCUGUGUGUGCGGAGUUUGCAUGUUCUCCCCGUGCUGCGGGGGUUCCUCCGGGUAUUCCUGUUUCCUGCCCCAGUCCCAAAACAUGCAUGGUAGGCUGAUUGUCCAAAAGUCUCCGUGGUGUAUGAAUGGGUGCGUGAGUAUGUAUGUGAUUGUGCCCUGCAAUGGAUUGGCAACCUGUCCAGGGUGUACCCCACCUUGUGCCCAAUGCUCCCUGGGAUAGGCUCCAGGUUUCACCGUGACCCUGAAAAGGAUAAGCGGUAUAGAAGAUGGAUGGAUGGAUAAUCACAUCCGUAAGCAUCUUGUUAGUGUGCAUUUUCUCAUAAAGUAAAGCUCCUGUAAAAUGAGCUUAAAACGCCUAGCCAAGGCAUUCCCAAAGUCAAAUUAAAGCUGUUCUUGAAUCAUUUGGAGUACAUGCAUGGUUUUGGUCUCUUUUCAAAGCUGGACUAAAUAUUUUGACAUAAUUGGAUUGUUUGGACCUUUGCCAGUGUAACAGGACUGUUUUUGUCAGGAUGUUAUGGAUCAGUGGAUUACUAUGAGGCUUAGGUGAGUUGCCUCCAUGUUGUAAAUGUUUGUUUGUAUGUUGGUGGUCUGACAGAGACGUUGAUUGUAGCUGCUGUUGUGAUUGUAUCUCAAAACGGUUUAUAUCAAUCGAAUCAAAAGAAUUUUAGCUUUCCAAAGAUAUGAAUAGCUUUGUACAUAGAGAAGCUGUGUAGCUAGCAUAGAUUUGCUCAUAACAUGGCGACAGCACGCUGGCGGGCCAUAAGAAUUUUAACAGGAUAAAGUAUACGACGGCGAGAUGGCUGAUAAUCUCUAAAAAUGAUUGAUAUUAGAAUACAUUUCAUCAUGAAACGAUAGUUUAAUCCCUAUGCUUACCUUGAACAACAAACGCUCUCGGUUAGCAUAGACGUGCAGUUGCUGCACAAACACCAUGGAUUUUGCCUCACUCUUGCCUCCUCACUUCUCUAAUCAUCUUCAAUUUAAUGUAUGUUUUGAGUAAUGUCUUCUAUUUUAGCCUCCCCGCUUAUGUUACGCUCAGGUUCAAAUUGAAAAGGCUGAAGACAUGUUUAUAUCGCUGUAGGGUUGCAGGAGGAUCACAACUAUUGCAACCAUUUGACGUCACUACUCAGAAUACAUUGCAAUGUAAACAGCAAUGGUGGCCUACGAGUGCAAGGAUUUCUGUUAUUUAAUAAAAACCCUGACAUCUAGAGUGUUUUUGUAAAGAGGAUUUAUAUAGCAGAUGUUAGCCUUAAUCUAAUAAACCAUACAAGUCUUCAUAGACUGGGCUCCAUUUAAAUACACAUCAGUAUAUUUUAUCAUAAUGUGCAUGUGAAUCAUUCAUUUGUAUGGUUCUUUCUCCCUCCCUGUUCUUCUCUGUCUCUACCACAAAAUGACAGAAGAGACAACAACAGGUAAAGUUUCACUGACACUAUGUGUAUAUGUCACAUAAUGCGGGUUAGGACGGAAGCAAGUGCAGGUAUGGCAGUUUAAUAAAAUAACAAGUCCAAGGGAUCAGGCAGAAAUCAAUAAACAAAGACAGGCAGAGCUCAGGCAUUCAGGCAAACAGUCCAAACAAGGCAAGGCAAAAAGAUGCGAUCAAAAACAAGAACAAAGUCAAAACCAGAAUAAACAAACAUGGUCUCAAGGCUUGGUAACGGCAGAGACAAAAUGUAACUGAGCGUAUUGCUUCACAAAGACAUUGUGUAUGAGAGUCUCUUUUAUGUGUGGUGUGAUUGUGAGUAUAAUUGGGAACAGGUGUCUCUGAUUAGUCCUCAGGAAAAGGUGACGUGUCUGUGUGUAGUUUUGUGAGUUGUAGUCGUUGGCCAUGAUUGUAGUGUGCAAUGCAUUCUGAAAAAUGGAGUCAUGAGUUUACCAUGAUAUGACAGUAUAUAUAAAUAUGUGAGCACUGCAUCCACCCAUUAUCCCAUUCGUUCGACAUAUAGGAUCUGAUACGUUUUUAAAUACACAUCAGUAUAUUUUAUCACAAUGUGGAUUUGAAUCAUUCAUUUGUAUCGUUCUUUCUCCCCCUCUGUUCUUCUCUGUCUCUACCACAAAAUGACAGAAGAGACAACAACAGAAGAGACAACAAUAACAACAACAACAACAAUGGCUACAACAACAGUGCCACCCACAACAGAAGAGACAACAGGUAAAGUUUCAGUGACAGUGUGGGUAUAUAUGAACAUGUGAACAUUAACUCCACCCAUUAUCCUAUUCCUUCGACGUAUAGGAUCUAAUACGUUUUUAAAUACACAUCGGCAUAUUUUAUCACAAUGUGUGUAUAUAUAAUCCUGUGAAAAUUACAUCCACCCAUUAUCCCAUUCCUUCGACGUAUUGGAUCUAAUACGUUUUUAAAUAGACAUCAGUAUAUUUUAUAAUAAUGUGGAUGUGAAUCAUUCAUUUGUGUCCUUCUUUCUCCCUCUCUGUUCUUCUCUUUCUCUUCCUCAAAAUGACAGUAGAGACAACAGCAGGUAAAGUUUCACUGACAGUGUGGG
ensembl:lncRNA